rnacentral:rRNA from 1 species
AACGAACGCUGGCGGCAGGUCUUAGGCAUGCAAGUCAAACGGGUGUAGCAAUACAUCAGUGGCGCACGGGUGAGUAACGCGUGGGAAUAUGCCCUUUUGUGGGGAAUAACGUCUGGAAACGGACGCUAAUACCGCAUAAGCCGGAAACGGGAAAGCCGAAAGGCGCAGAAGGAUUAGCCCGCGUUGGAUUAGCUUGUUGGUGGGGUAAUGGCCUACCAAGGCAGUGAUCCAUAGCUGGUCUGAGAGGACGAUCAGCCACACUGGAACUGAGACACGGUCCAGACUCCUACGGGAGGCAGCAGUGGGGAAUAUUGCACAAUGGGCGAAAGCCUGAUGCAGCGACGCCGCGUGAGGGAUGAAGGCCUUCGGGUUGUAAACCUCUUUCAGUAGGGAAGAAGCGCAAGUGACGGUACCUACAGAAGAAGCACCGGCUAACUACGUGCCAGCAGCCGCCGUAA